rnacentral:rRNA from 1 species
AUGAAGACUAUUUGUCAGGAUUCAUUGCCUUCCUCGUUGAUUGCUUCGAGUUCCACCCGGAAGGAUGUGGAGGAGGCAAUUAAGCCGCUUCGUGAGGUCGCUGACUCUUUGCAGGGCUGGUUAGUGCGUGUUGGGAGCUUUUUAGAGCGUGCGGAGGCUGCUCUGCAAAGGUUCCCUGUUGCACCGGCUCCCAUGGUUGAGUCUGUUGUUGGCUUCGUGGAUGAGGCAGAUGCAGAGCUCUUCGGCAGCUUCUCGCCUCGUGCUGGGUCCAGUUCGACGCCCUCUGUGUUGACGGGCUUUGAGGGUGAGGCCUGUGCCGAGGUUGUGUCUCCGAUGCUGCAGAUCAUGCCCGAGCUACAAAUAUUGUGUGGGAAACCUGCUUCGCCUCUGCCGACGGAGCAGCUCAAGUUGGGAUCUCUCGAGGCUUCAGAGGUGGCCUUGGUGCCCUCACCACCCCCCGUGGAGCCUUGUCAAGUGUCAGGCGGCCUAGCACUCAGCGUCGUGGAGCAUGGAGUUUCAGAUAUUGCUACCCUUCCCUCGCCUAUGACCAUCGAGCAAGUGGUGCCUAUGAGUGGCAUGACCAUCGAGUCAAGUGUGUCGGCACCUGCUCCAAAUUCUAAUGCUCUCUUCGCAAAGGAGCUUUGUGACUUGCUUGCCAGUGUGGAGGUUGCUAGACCUGGUUUGGGUAGGUCAAUUGCUUGCCUCCUAACUGGGACGCCAAUAAGGGGCAAAUCAAAGAAGGUCGGGGCAGAGCAGUUGGGACUGCCCGCCCUCGUGUCCAAGAGGGCAGAGUUUGUGCGGGUGUUUCCAAACCAGCUUUGGCGCCCCACCACCCACACUCAAGAAUUUCUUGGGCUCAAGAGGGAUGCCGGGUUGUGGAGAGACACCAACUACGGCGAGGGAGUUAUCAUUGGUGUAGUUGACACCGGCAUCUAUGCGGCGGAUCCUUCCUUUGGUGAUAGUGGUCAUUUGGUUCAUAAGGUAAAAGAUGAUGUCGGAGAGGCUGGUCGGUUCGUUGGGAUGGAAGGCACGGGCUCUGGCGACUCCGGCUCUGCCCCGCGGGGUGACGCGCCCGCCCUGCUCCCGCCGGCGCCGCCCACCCACCUGGCCCCGGCUGCUGAUGGCCCCGCCGCCCCCUCUCCCCGCCUCCCCCCUCCUCGCCGUCCCCUGAACCCCCGGGUAGGGUGGUCUGGGCGGAUUUGGCUGAGGACGCGCCGCUGGCCGGCCGGUGGAGAGCCGCGACCGGGUGCUUUCGCCCGCCCCGGCGCGCCCGCCGCCGUCCCGCUCUGUCGGCGGCCUUACUCGCGGGGGUGGGAGUUCGGCUGCCCGGGCGCGGACGAGGCCUCUCCGUCGGCUGCCGCGUGCUCCGCGGGGCGUUGGUGGGAAAGGCCCGGCCUUGGGUCCCGGGGUUGGCCGCCGUCGCCGCCGGUCCGCCGGCUGGGGUGUCGCCGGCCGGGCCGACUUUGGCCACGCACGCUCGUCGUGGUGCCCCUCCGGCCGGCUCGCCUCGGCCCGGCCGGCCGCGCCGCCGCCACCGCCGCCAGGGAGCGUCGGCUCCCUCGUGAUCUCCAGGUGAUCCCCCUUCCGCCCCUUCAUCGCUUUCUUCGGCUCCUCCAGGCUGUGCUGCUCGUCGUCUCCCCGGCGCUCUGCCUCGCCUCGCUCCCCACUCCGUCCGUCGGCCUCCUUGCCCGCGCCGGCGGCGGCUGUGGAUGCCCUAGCCAGGUUGAGUGCCCCAACCCGUCGAUGAGCUACCUCUGCAAGGACUCGGGCCACCCUGCAUCCCUCUGCCCGGACCUCCCGGUGCCGGAGGAGCUCAUGAUGUACGGCCACGGCAUUGAGGGUCUCGGUUUCUUCCAAAUCGAGGUCGAGGAUGUCCCUCACCCAUCUCCGUCACUCCUUGCGGUCGUGACCAUUGUUGGGGCGGGGGUCGCCUCAUCGAAGAUGAUCGAGGCCGAGCUCAACCACCUCUGCCGCCGUGUCUGGGACUGGCAGGUGACUCCGACCUCGGACAGCUCCUUCACCGUGGUCUUCCCCGACGCCCUUAGCCUGGGCCUCUGCACCCGUAGCGACGACAUCACCCUCGCCCUCAACAAGCUUGUCGUCAACAUCUCUGAGCCCCUGAUGGACCCCAAGGUUGUGGCCAUGUUGGAUACUGCUUGGAUCCUCAUCGCUGGCCUCCCCGAUAUCGCUCGUUCUGAGAAGGUGAUCCGCAGUAUGUCCAAGCUCCUGGGCAAGGUGGUGGUGGUGGAUGAUCUCUCUCUCCGCAAGGAGGAGGAGGUCCGUGUCAAGGUCAAGUGCCUUGACUCCUCCACCCUCCGUGCCACUGUCCGGGUUUUCUUCAACGACCAGGGGUUCGACCUCAAGAUCUACCCUGAGCCUCCCAACCACAUCGGCCGACCCCGACACUUCACUAAGGGCCACUUUGGCGGGGGAAGUGCGGACCACCGCGACGACUCCCACUACCGCCGUCCGCGCCCCUCUCGCCACGAGGAACCAGAGGACGACGAUGAGCACUCUGGCCGCAUCCGCUCCCCCUUGCGCGACCCUUCGGACCCUCCUCCGGGGCGUGGGCAUUCGGGAGCGGGCCGGUCGCGGGGGGUGGCCUCCGUCGAGGCUGCCCCCGCUGCGCUGCCCGUCCCUUCCCCCUCCUCUUCGGCCGAGCUUAGUGACAUCUCCAGCGUCUGUCUCCUCGUCCUCCCGGCAACUUCACUGCGCUCGCCGUGCCUCUCCCCCGAGGCUGCCCCGCCUCGUCCGCCCCCGACGGUGGCUUCUCCGCUGCUGUCGGACUCGUCGGCGUCGGAUCCCCUCCCCAUUGGGUCUCCCCCGGCUGGCCCCCCGGGAAGGAUGCUCCGUCUCCCCCCACCUCUCCCCCGGCGUCCGCUCCCGCCCCGGUGGCCGACUUGCUGGCCCCGGACCCGCCCUCCCUCAACUUGGCAGGGUCGGUGCCCUACUGGCUCCUCCGGCUCCGGUGUCCCUGCCGCGCCUGCUCCUGGUGGCCUCCGCUGA